rnacentral:rRNA from 1 species
AACGAACGCUGGCGGCAUGCCUAACACAUGCAAGUCGAACGAGACCCUCGGGUCUAGUGGCGCACGGGUGCGUAACGCGUGGGAACCUGCCCUUAGGUUCGGGAUAACUCCCCGAAAGGGGUGCUAAUACCGGAUAAUGUCUUCGGACCAAAGAUUUAUCGCCUUUGGAUGGGCCCGCGUUGGAUUAGCUAGUUGGUAGGGUAAAAGCCUACCAAGGCGACGAUCCAUAGCUGGUCUGAGAGGAUGAUCAGCCACACUGGGACUGAGACACGGCCCAGACUCCUACGGGAGGCAGCAGUGGGGAAUAUUGGACAAUGGGCGAAAGCCUGAUCCAGCAAUGCCGCGUGAGUGAUGAAGGCCUUAGGGUUGUAAAGCUCUUUUACCCGGGAUGAUAAUGACAGUACCGGGAGAAUAAGCUCCGGCUAACUCCGUG